GCAGUUUUCUCCUCUAGUUGCUGUGGCCCAAAUCGCAUUAGGAAGACACUAGCUCAGCAGGGUAGUACAAGCCUAUGUCCUUCCUUAAUACUUCUGAGUAGUUUGGGAUCGGAACCCAGCCAGAGCCAGUUGUAAAUCAGGACAUGCAGAACCAUUUAAUUUUUCUGCCAACUCUGCCCUCUCUAGAUACUGAAAACAGGAUGUUUUGACCCUGACACUGAACGGUGUGCUGCUGACACACAAGACCCCCACCCACUGGGGAGAGGUCUGCGUGCUGGGGUGGUUUUGCACAGUAACCUUUUUAUCUUUUCUUCCUCUUUUUUUGCCUGAAUGACUGUAGUACUUGGAUACAAAACACUGAUUGUAUGAUUAUCAGGAGAGACAGGGUUGAGACCUUUAAGGAUUUGGCCCAUUUUACUCUUUGAGAAACUCAUUUUCCUUUGUUGAGUGAGAGUUUGAGUUUGGCUAGAAGCAAUAAAAGGGAUGGUUGAGGAAUACUCGAAAAGUUUGAAGCUCACUAACCAAGACCUGUCCCUUUUGGAGUGGCCUUUUUAGUGUAAGUACAGGGGUGCAGCUUUGUUGGCAUUUGGCGCUGCUGAGGAGUGGCAUGAUCGGGCAUCCCCGCGCUCAGGCACCUCCUGGCACAGGCUGUGUGAAAAAUUGCUCUAGACACUCAGAGAUAGGGCUUUGAUCCCUCGAGUUCAGACUACAACAUAUUCUACCUUUUAGGCAAAAGUGGCCCUUUUGGUUUCUGGUUGUGUUUUUGUUUGUUUUUUAAAGUAAUAUAGUGAAAUAUAGUCAUCCUCAUUAUUCAUGGAUUCCGUAUUUGUGAUUUACCUACUCAGCAAAAUUCAUUUGUAACCCUAAAAUCAGUUCUAAUGGUGUUUUUGUGGACCUUUGCAGCCAUACACAGAUUGGCAAAAAAUUCGAGCUGUCCAUUGCACCAUGUUCUAGCUGAGGUUGAAUGUGGCAACACUGCCUUCUUUCAAGCUCUCAUACUGUAAACAAGUGUCUUUUUCAUAGUCUAUUUAGUGCCACAUUUUCUGCAUUUUUAUAAUUUUUCUUGGUGAUUUUGAUGUUUAAAAUGGCCUCAGGCAUAGUGCUAAAAAGUGCUGAGUGGUGUUACUAAGUGCAAGACUGUGAUGUGCCUUGUAGAGAAAAUACAUGUGUUAGAUAAGCUUUGUUCAGGCAUGAAUUACAGUGCGGCUGGGCACGAGUUCUAUGUUGAUGAGUCGACAGUAUAUAUCCAAGUGUCUUUAAACAGAAAAGACAUAUACCACAAGGUUUUGUAUUGACCAGUUGAUAAAAAUGUGACAGGAGGCUCGAAAGAGCUUAAACCUUUAUUUCCUCCAGGAGCAUUUGUUCAGUAUCACUGAUUCAUUGCUUACAGUGGCUGUAUAGAGCAGAACUACUGUGAAAACUGAGGAUUGACUCUACCUUUAAAAGAAGGAAGAAACUUUGGUGUCUACAUACAUCCUUGAUGAUUUUCCUCUCUAAUGCUUGUAACUUUUCCCACUUGCUUUAAAACAAAAUUUUUUUUCUUAUAAAACUAAUGCAUGUUCAUUGUAGAGAAUUUAGAAAACAGCCUAGUGAUAAGAAGGAAAUAUAAAACUCCAUAAUCCCAUCAUCCUAAAUUAACUUAACAUUUUGGUUCUUACUCUCUUAGUUCAUUCUGGCUGCUAUAACAGAAUACCAUAAACUGGGUGGCUUAAACAACAAACGUUUCUCAGAGUUUGGGAGGCUGGGAAGUCCAAGAUCAUGAUAGGUGCUGGCAGAUUUGUUCUGUGGUGAGGGCCAGCUUCUCCCGUGUCAUCACAUGGUAGAAGGGGCAGGGGAGCUCUCUGGGAUCUCUUUUAUAAGGUCACUAAUCUCCCUUUGUGAAGGCUCCACCCUUAUGAUCUAAUCACCUUCCAAAGACCCCACCUCCAAAUACCAUUGAAUUGAGGGUUAGGAUUUAAACAUGAAUUUGAGGGAGGAGCACAAUCAUUCAGUUUUUUCUCUGUGUGUGUAUAUACAUUUGUAUGUGUGUGUGUGUGUGUGUGUGUGUGUGUUUUAAAGUGAUCAAAGAGAGGUCAUUCCUACUUGUUCUGCAGAUUGGAAUAUGCUUCAAGCACUUGUCACUUUGAUUCA